UGCAAGCAGUGGAAUUUCGCUCAUUGAUCCUGAUACUCCAGAAAUAGAUUUCUUCAACCUGACAGACAGGAAGGGAUAAGGAAGGCUAACAUGACCAAGACUGAAGAGAUGCGUCAUAAAUGAAGAAAACAGCCUCUCAGCAAGCCUUCUCCUUCUCCUCUUAGUGCCGGACCUAAGCACUCUGGGCGACGUAUAAGAAGACGGAUCACAAGGUUAGCAUUUUCUUCUACACUCUCACCUACAAAUAAAAUACAUUAUUCAUAUAAUUUUGACCUUUGUAUUGUGGGUUUGUGAAUGAUUGAAUAUUACAGUAAGUUAUUUUAUGUACAGAUAGCACAUCUACAGUAUUCUACAUUGUAAUAGCUAGAUGCAGGAAAAAUUAUUCUUAACAACAUAUUUUGAACGUCUGUUCAUAUUAAUUUGGUCAUAUGUAAUAAAGAAGUUUUAUGAAAUGAAA